UACAGAGGUCCCAAGCGUUGUUCGGAUUCACUGGGCGUAAAGGGUGCGUAGGUGGUGGGGUAAGUCGGAUGUGAAAUCUCCAGGCUCAACCUGGAAAUGGCAUCGGAAACUACCUCGCUGGAGGUUUGGAGGGGGGACUGGAAUUCUCGGUGUAGCAGUGAAAUGCGUAGAUAUCGAGAGGAACACCAGUGGCGAAGGCGAGUCCCUGGACAACACCUGACACUGAGGCACGAAAGCUAGGGGAGCAAACAGG
rnacentral:rRNA from 1 species